CCUCCUGAGUAGCUAGGAUUAUAGGCGCCCGCCACCACGCCUGGCUAAUUUUUGUACUUUUAGUGGAGACAGGGUUUCGCCAUGUUGGCCAGGCUGGUUUCAAACUCCUGACCUCAGGUGAUCCGCCCACCUCAGCCUCCCAAAAUGCUGGAUUACAGGCGUGUGAGCCACCGUGCCUGGCUGAUUCGGCAUUUUUCAUCAGGCAGGACCAGGUGGCACUUCCACCUCUAACCUCUGGUCCUACCAGUGGAUUCAUGGAGUAGCCUGGAAUGUUUCAUAGUUUUCUAAAUAUACAAACUCUUAUAGGCUAGACUUAAAUUCAUUAACUCAAAUUCAAUACUUCUAUCACACUCAGUUUUUUGUAACUAAUAGCUUUUUUUUUUUUAAUUUUUAUUCUAUUCCUCCCCUAAUAGCUUUUAAAAAAAUAUCCCCAGUAGAGAAACAUUUGGAAAAGACAGAAAACUAAAGAGGAAGAAAAAAGAUCCCUAUUAGAUACACUUCUUAAACACAGCCACAUUAACAGUUUGAACUGUUUCCUUUCAGCCUUUUUAGGGCAUAUAUUGGUUGAUUUUUACAUAGUUGAGAUUGUACUGUUUAUACAGUUUUAUACCCUACUUUUUCAUUUAACUUUGUAACUUAACUAUUUCUCUAUGUUAUUAUAAGCUUUUCACAAACAUUAGUGUAGUCUUCCUUUUAUAAUUAAUGUUUGGGGGUAUUUCUUGGCAUCUUUAAUUCCUUAUCCUAGCCUUUGGGCACAAUUCCUGUGCUCAAAAAUGAGAGUGACGGCUGGCAUGCUGGCUCACGCCUGUAAUCCCAGUGCUUUGGGAAGCCAAGGAAGAGGACUGCUUGAGCCCAGAACUUCAAGAUGAGCCUGGGCUCAUAGUGAGACCCCAUCUAUACAAAAAAAUUUUAAAAAAUUAGUGUGGCGGCACACAUCUGUAAUCCUAGCUACCUGGCAUGGUGAGGUGAGAAGAUCAUUUGAGUUUAGGAAUUGGAGGCUGCAGUCAGCCAUGAGUACACCACUGCACUCCAGCCUGGGGGACAGAGCAAGACCCUGGCUCAAAAAAA